rnacentral:rRNA from 1 species
GAUCUGGGUGCUGCCAGCUUGUCUGGCUCGCCUUAAAGGAGUUAGCGAGUAUAGCAAUGUCGUCUGGCGUAAUAAGUUUCGCUGGGUUGACGUGUGAAGCACGCUUCUAAUCGCCCUCGGGCAAUUUUUGACUCUGGCCUCAAAUCAGGUAGGACUACCCGCUGAACUUAAGCAUAUCAAUAAGCGGAGGAAAAGAAACUAACAAGGAUUCCCCUAGUAGCGGCGAGUGAAGCGGGAAGAGCUCAAAUUUGUAAUCUGGCGUCUUUCAGGCGUCCGAGUUGUAAUCUAUAGAAGUGUUUUCCGUGCUGGACCAUGUCCAAGUCCCUUGGAACAGGGUAUCAAAGAGGGUGACAAUCCCGUACUUGAUAUGGCCACCAGUGCUCUGUGAUACACUUUCUACGAGUCGAGUUGUUUGGGAAUGCAGCUCAAAAUGGGUGGUAAAUUCCAUCUAAAGCUAAAUAUUGGCGAGAGACCGAUAGCGAACAAGUACCGUGAGGGAAAGAUGAAAAGCACUUUGGAAAGAGAGUUAAACAGUACGUGAAAUUGUUGAAAGGGAAACGAUUGAAGUCAGUCGUGUUCAUUGGACUCAGCCGGUUCUUCCGGUCUAUUUCCUUUGAACGGGUCAACAUCAGUUUUGUCCGGUGGAUAAAGGCAGAGAGAAAGUGGCUCCCUCGGGAGUGUUAUAGCUUUUUGUCACAUACACUGGAGGAGACUGAGGACUGCAGCUCGCCUUUUGGCCGGGGUUCGCCCACGU